GACGAACGCUGGCGGCGUGCUUAACACAUGCAAGUCGAACGGAAAGGCCUCUUUCGGGGGGUACUCGAGUGGCGAACGGGUGAGUAACACGUGAGUAACCUGCCCUUGACUUUGGGAUAACUUCAGGAAACUGGGGCUAAUACCGGAUAGGAGCUCCUGCUGCAUGGUGGGGGUUGGAAAGUUUCGGCGGUUGGGGUUGGACUCGCGGCUUAUCAGCUUGUUGGUGGGGUAGUGGCUUACCAAGGCUUUGACGGGUAGCCGGCCUGAGAGGGUGACCGGCCACAUUGGGACUGAGAUACGGCCCAGACUCCUACGGGAGGCAGCAGUGGGGAAUAUUGCACAAUGGGUGGAAGCCUGAUGCAGCAACGCCGUGUGCGGGAUGACGGCCUUCGGGUUGUAAACCGCUUUCGCUCAUGACGAAGCUUUGUGUGACGGUAGUGGGUAAAGAAGCACCGGCUAACUGCGUG
rnacentral:rRNA from 1 species